GCAGAUUUCAGGCCUCAACCAGUCAUCACUACAACACGAUAUGCAAGUUUUGCUUCUGCUGUCAUUGAUCUACCAUCAGCAACAUACUCAGUCAUCGCUUGGAUAAACAGCAUCCAGAAAUCCAGCUUGAUUGGAAAAACUCAGUCCUUGUGUAAACCCAUGUGAGUGUGGGGGUAUUCACGAGGGCGCCCUUUUUCCGUCAUUUAACUUUUCUGCAGGAUGGAGCACGUAUGGAUGCCUGGCUGUAUUUCCCAGGCAUAAAGGGGACGUCAAGUGCAGCUGAUGGGAAAUUGGACGGACAAAAGUUCCCGUCCGAAAAACGAGCGUCGCCCGCCGACACAAACGCCGCCAAUCUCCCCCCUUUUUUUCUUUCCAGCUCUCCAGCACCGCUGGACGGGCCAAAGAACUUAAUCCUCCUACGCACCAAAAGCGCCCAGCAUCGCGCACAUAUAUAUAUACAACCACUUCUUGGGUCCCAUCCAAUCACCUUUAUCGCUCCUAAGCGAUCGAUCUGUAUGUGUUCCUCCUAUAUACUCUUACGGUUCACCAACACAAGAGCAGCUCUUAUUGCGGCACUGUAACUUUAUUUUUUCCCUUUUUUUUCCAUUGUCAAACAGAAAAAGGGGGGAAUCAAACGGUAUGUACAUAUAGUAGGCUGCUACCGCUGGCAUUGAGGGCAAACACAAAAUAAUAUUAUAUAGCUUUUUUUUUCUUUCUAUCUGGAAGUGCGUUGCGCAUGAAUAUAAAAUGAAGUCCGGUCUCGAGUCCGAUGGGAAUAAACCGCCCGUGACUAUAAGUCCGAUAUUAUUAUUUUUUUUCUUUCCUAUUUUCAAUAUAUAGGCCAAUGAAAAAAAGGGAAAAAAAACCUGACCCCUUCGUUUGAUAAGAGUUCCACACGUCGUCCGCACAGCUUUUCACGCCCCAUUAUUUUAAGGGAGGAUGGGGUGGGGAGGGGGGACUCCCGAAUUGACCAUUUUCUAUUGUCAACUGCAAUCAUCGAUCUAUGCGCUUGUGUGUAGACCCUCAUCUUCUAUUUAUAUAUCUACAUCGUUUUUUCUCUUUCAGAAAGGGUAAAGUGAAACGAUGGGUUUUCUCGAUUCGAUUCAUAUGCUGGCCCUUUAUUACGUAUUCAGAAGGGACAGCUAUGUAAAUAGAUUGCGUUUAUAGAUCAGCCCUUUUUUUUCUUCGUUGACGAUAUUUUUUUUUGUAGGGGCUCCCCCUUCUUUCCUUAUGCGAUAUAAUAUAGCGAUCCUUUUUUUUUUAGAUAUUCUUAUCUACUCUUUAUUCAAUGUUUUUAUAUCCAGAACUUUGCAUAUUCACUGGACAGUGGUUAAUGUUUGGUCGUUUCCGCUUCUCUUCGUCUCUUAUUUCCCUUUUUUUCUUCCCGACUAGCUGUGCAAUAUAUACACAUCUCGAGCUGCUGUGUAUUGACGCGGAGCGAUGGAUCUCCAAGGAUUUCCAAACCGACUUUUCUUUUUGUAAUCCUGACGUUGUGUCCUGAUGAAAAUUCAACAAAGAUUUAUACAAGCUAAUCUAUUACUGUU